GUGUAAUGUACUCAGGUGAAUAAGAUGUUUGUGUGAUGUUACUCUGAGUGUAUAUCCACACCGGGCAGGCCCGAAAAAUAUGCCUGGCCACGGCGGGAUUCGAACCUACGACCUUUGGAAUACUAGCCCAAUGCUCUUCCAACUGAGCUACGCGGUCAGGACGGUUCGAGUAAGCGAUAUUUCGGAACUGAGUCUAGUUCCUUCGAUAUCAG